rnacentral:rRNA from 1 species
CCUACGGGUGGCAGCAGUGAGGAAUAUUGGUCAAUGGGCGCGAGCCUGAACCAGCCAAGUAGCGUGAAGGAUGACUGCCCUACGGGUUGUAAACUUCUUUUAUAAAGGAAUAAAGUGAGGCACGUGUGCCUUUUUGUCUGUACUUUAUGAAUAAGGAUCGGCUACCUCCGUGCCAGCAGCCGCGGUAAUACGGAGGAUACGAGCGUUAUCCGGUUUUAUUGGGUGUAAAGGGAGCGUAGAUGGGUUGUUAAGUCAGUUGUGAAAGUUUUCGGCUCAACCGUAAAAUGGCAAUUGAUACUGGCAGCCUUGAGUACAGUAGAGGUAGGCGGAAUUCGUGGUGUAGCGGUGAAAUGCUUAGAUAUCACGAAGAACACCGAUGGCGAAGGCAGCUUACUAAACUGCCACUGACAUUGAGGCUCGAAAGUGUGGGGAGCAAACAGGAUUAGAUACCCGGGUAGUC